rnacentral:lncRNA from 1 species
CCUAUGUGCAGUACUUUAUUUCACUCCGUGUUCUUCAGCUCCCUCACUUGAGGCGUCUCUCCAAUGUCUGUCUUUGCUCUGCUGCAGCAGCUGCACAGCGUCCGAUGAAGAAUCCUAACGGCGGUGUCCUGGACCAACAACCUGUUCGUGUGCCCGCGUGAGGGCCUUUUUAGGUGGGGAGAGAAAGGGAGUCCCAUCUCCUCAGUUGCUGACCAGCGCAUGCCUGUGCUUUGUGCCCAGCAAGGCUGUGUUCCCUUGAGAUUACUCGCAACCUGGGGCCUUUGGCCAAGGCUAAACUCAUCUAACAGCUACUUGCAAACCUGUUGACCGUUCCAGCCGAAAAACCUGUGGAAAGCAGUGGAGCUGCUAGCAUGCAUCCUAUGAGCUUGUGUAGAAGGCUGACAUCCCGUCUUGCUCCUAUCAGUCUUAUCAGUGAUAUCCCACCAGCUCCUGGGAAUUCAGCACCAUGUUUGGCUCCCAAGCCUCCUGAGCCCUUCAUUUCCAAGCUGCAGAACCUCCCUCACAUCCACCUAAAAUCAGGUUUAUUUUGGGAGAAGAAAGUAAUGCUCACAGGCAUCACAGCACCAGCUUCUGGAGAGCCAAAUCAUUUCCACGGCUCCUGUUACCUCUUUGAGAGGAGCAAGAAGGAGGAGGAUUGCUGCGGGGAGAGUGACACGGUGGAUUGCCGGAGCAAUCGAGCUCUGGUGGCAUCACUCCACACGGUGUUUCUUCCUUGGGGGUGUGCUGUGUCUGGUCUUCUGCAGGGGUGGCCGUUUCUUUUCUAAACACCCGCCUACCCUUGCUGGACUUUGAAAUCAGCCAGUCUUCUUCAAGCAAUGCCAGCAUGACCUCUUGAAGGCACUUUCUGUGGACUGAGUGGGA